rnacentral:rRNA from 1 species
UGAUCUAGCAACCAACCAUUAAAUAAAACAAAAUCUUCUGAGCAAACAUACCUAGCCUAAAAUUAAAAUUCAUAUCAUUCAUAUUGAGCCUUACUUACCACAUUUUCUUUGAGAUUGACAAGGAGAGAGCCCUCUCCCGACCUGGUAGGGCUAACUACCAGGUUAUGCGUGGUUUGAUGUUACCCUAGACCUGCCUUUAUCAGCUUGAGGUAGAUCCAGGCCAUAACACUAUCUAUUAGUUUGUUGUUGUGGUGGUCAAGGAACGAAGUGUGCACCCUUUUGGCAGGUCAUGUGCACCUAUGAGUUCGUGAUAUUGGUUGGCGGGAUUUCCAUGCGACUGGUCUUGAAACAUGAACCAAGGAGUCUAACAUGUGUGCGAGUCGGAGGGUUUGAAAACUUGUGAUGUGCAAGGAAGUUGAUGGGUGAGAUCCCAUCUCUUGGGGGUGCAUCAUUGACCAACCUUGAGCUUAUGUGAAGGGUUUGAGUGCGAGCACACUUGUUGUGACUCAAAAUAUUGUGAACUAUGCCUGAGCAAGGCGAAGCCAGAGGAAAUACUGCAGAGGCUCGUAGAGAUAUGGACAUGCAAAUUGUUCAUCUGGGUUGGGUAUAGGGGUAAAUGACUAAUCAAACCAUCUAGUAGUUGGUUUCCUUCGAAUUUUUCCUCAGGAUAGCUGGAGCUCAUGCGCGAUUUUUAUCGGCUAAAGCAAAUGAUUAAAGGCAUUGGGGGUGUAAUGCCCUCAACCUAUUCUCAAACUUUAAAUAGGUAAGAGGGUGUGGCUGCUCCAUGAGUCAUGCCACCGAAUAAAGAGCUCAAAGUGGGCCAUUUUUUGUAAGUAGAACUGGUGAUGCAGGAUGAACUGAAAGUCAAGUUACAAUGCCGAAUUGCAUGCUAACCUAGAUCCCACAAAGGGUGUUGGUUGAUUAAGACAGCAAGACAUUGGUCAUGGAAGUCGAAAUCCACUAAGGAGUGUGUAACAACUCACCUGGAAAAUCAAUUAGCCUUGGAAAUGGAUGGCUCUGAAGUGCGCAACCUAUAUUGGACCGUCAGAGCAAUUGGCUAGGUUCGAUGAGUAGGAGGAUGCGAGGGUCACUAAGAAACCUCAGGUGUGAGCUUGGGUGGAUUGGCUUCGAUGCAAAUCUUGAUGGUAUUAUAAAAUAUUCAAAUGAGAACUUUGAAUAUUGAAUUUAGGAAAGUUCCAUGUGAACGAUAGUUGGACAUGGGUUAGUCGAUUCUAUGAAAUGGGGAAGCCUUGUAUCAAGGGUGUAUUCUAAACAAGCAUCGAAAGGGAAUUGAGUUUAUGUUAACAAACUAGGACAUGGCAGUGGGUGACAAUGUUAGCAAAUCAGGAGACAUCAUCGAGGGCCCUGGGAAGAGUUAUCUUUUCUUCUUAACAUCUUGCCCACCCUAGAAUCUGUUCACCUAGAGAUAGGGUCCAAUAGCUGGAAGAGCACUGCAUGUCCUAUGAUGUCUGGUGUGCCCUCAGCGGCCCUUCAAAAUAUGGAGGAUAAAGUACCAUUCAUGCCCGUUCAUACUCAUAACCACAUCUAGUCUCCAAGUUGAACAACCUUUGGUCAAUAGAAUAAUGUAGGUAAGGGAAGUCGACAAAACAGAUCCAUAACUUCGGGAAAAUGAUUGGAUCUGCGGGCUUGACCUAGGGUUCUGCACCCUCAACUUGUGGUCUAUUGACAGUCUGCCUGAGCUGUUAUCAUAGCUAGGGGGUACAAUUGCGUGCUGAUUUGGCCAUGGGCAUAGAAUGCCACCUACCGGAGGCUUUUGCCUAGGCGGUGAAAAGUCGACUCAGAACUGAUAUGGACAAGGUGAAUCCAACUAUUUAAUUAAAACAAAGCAUUGCGAUGGUCACUACGGAUGUUGACGCAAUGUGAUUUCUACCCAUUUCUCUGAAUGUCAAAGUGAAGAAAUUCAACCAAGUGCAGGUAAAUGGUGGGAUUAACUAUGACUCUCUUAAGGUAGCCAAAUGCCUCGUCAUUUAAUUAGUGACGUGCAUGAAUUUAUUAACAAGAUUCCCACUAUCCCUAUCUAUUAUCUAGUGAAAUGACAACCAAGGGAAGAGGCUUCAUAGAACCAGUGGGGAGAGAAGAUCCUGUUGAGCUUGACUCUAGUCCAAAUUUGUGAAAUGACUUUAGAGGUGUAGAAUAAGUGGGAGUCGUUUUAGGCGCAAGAGACAUACCACUACUUUUAACAUUAUUUUACUUAUUUCGUGGGGCAGAGACAGGGCAGUGCCCCUGUUUCUGGCCUUAAAGCACAUUUCAGCGGGUCGAUCUAGGAGGAAGACAUUGUCAGGUGGGGAGUUUUCCUAGGGUGGAACAUCUGUUAAAAGAUAAUGCAGGUGUACUAAGAUGAGCUCAAUGAGAACAUAAAUCUUAUGUGGAACAAAACGGUAAAAUCUCAUUUGAUUUUUAUUUUUAGUAUGAAUACAAAUUGUGAAAGCGUGGCCUACUCAUCCUUUAGAUUUUUGGAAUUUGAAGCUAGAGUUGUCAAAAAAGUUACCACAGGGAUAACUAGCUUGUGGUAGCCAAGCGUUCAUAGGGACAUUACUUUUUGGUGCUUCAAUGUCGGCUCUUCCUAUCAUUGUGAAGUAGAAUUCACCAAAUGUUGGAUUGUUCACCCACCAAUAGGGAACGUGAGCUAGGUUUAGACCAUCGUGAGAUAGGUUAGCUUUACCCUACUGAUGAAGCAUGACGCAAUAGUAAUUUAGCUUAGUACGAGAGGAACCAUUAAUUCACAUAAUUGGUCAUUGCACUUACUUGAAAAGCUAGUGGCACGAAGCUACUGUGUUUUGGAUUACGUUUGAAUGCCUCUAACUCAGAAUACAUGGUAGAAGUGGUGCAUGUCACUCUUCGACUGUAUCUUGACCCAGAGUAGGGGCAUCAUUUUGUCACCCCUAGGGGCCCGUGUCAUUUGCGAACCGUGACUAUGAAGCAUCUCAAUCGGGGCAACUUUAAAGUUCAAUUCCAAAUGGUCGUUGAGAAGAAU